AGAACCUGAAACCUCGUGUUUACAAGCACCGAAAGUUCAUCAACGAACGAUCGGGUACCUUUUGUAGAAUGGUCCGGCGAGUGAAUGUAACUGGCAAGGUUAAGCACUUAAGGUGUGAAGCCGUAGCGAGAGCGAGUCUGAAAAGGGCGUAUGAAGUCAGUUGUAUUCGACCCGAAACCGGGUGACCUACCCAUGUCCAGGCUGAAGUGCAGGUAAAACUUCAUGGAGGGCCGAACCGACUCCCUUUGAAAUGGUAGCGGAUGAGGUGUGGGUAGCGGAGAAAUUCCAAUCGAACCCGGAGAUAGCUGGUUCUCUCCGAAAUAGCUUUAGGGCUAGCCUUGGAAUAGAUUACUGGAGGUAAAGCACUGAAUUGGCUAGGGGCCGAGAGGUUACUGAACCUUAUCAAACUAAGAAUGCCAGAUAAUCGUUUUCCAGGAGUCAGACAGUGGGAGAUAAGUUUCAUUGUCAAAAGGGAAACAGCCCAGACCUACAGCUAAGGUCCCAAAGUAUAGUUAAGUGGAAAAGGAUGUGGAAUUGCAUAGACAACCAGGAUGUUGGCUUAGAAGCAGCCACUCAUUAAAAGAGUGCGUAAUAGCUCACUGGUCGAGUGAUUCUGCGCCGAAAAUUUAACGGGGCUAAACUAUACACCGAAGCUUAGGAUACCGCAAGGUAUGGUAGGAGAGCGUUCUGUACGGAGCGAAGUCGUAGCGAAAGCGGCGGUGGACUGUACAGAAGUGAGAAUGCCGGAAUAAGUAGCGAGAAUUAAGUGAGAAUCUUAAUGGCCGAAAGUCUAAGGUUUUUGGAGGAAGGUUCGUCCGCUCCAAGUAAGUCGGGAGCUAAGGUCAGGCCGAAAGGCGUAGCCGAUGCACAAACGGUUGAUAUUCCGUUACCGUCUACAAUUUAAACAAGGGGACACAUACAAAGCGUUUAACCCGGGCGAUGGUUGACCUGGGCGCAAGGGACUGAAAUAAGAGUAGGGAAGUAAAUGUGGCGUAUGGCGAGAAAAGCCUUGUGUAUAGAAGUAGACGCCCGUACCGCAAACCGACACAGGUGGACAGGAAGAGAAUUCUAAGGCCAGCGGGAGAAGGGUAGUUAAGGAACUCGGCAAAUUGACUCCGUAACUUCGGAAUAAGGAGUGCUCGAAAGAGCCGCAGAGAAUAGGCCCAGGCGACUGUUUAGCAAAAACACAGGUCUCUGCCAAAUCGAAAGAUGAAGUAUAGGGGCUGACACCUGCCCGGUGCCGGAAGGUUAAGAGGAGGAGUGCAAGCUCCGAAUUGAAGCCCCGGUAAACGGCGGCCGUAACUAUAACGGUCCUAAGGUAGCGAAAUUCCUUGUCGGGUAAGUUCCGACCCGCACGAAUGGUGUAACGAUCUGGGCACUGUCUCAACUACCCACCCGGCGAAAUUGUAGUACCGGUGAAGAUGCCGGUUACCUGCGGCAAGACGGAAAGACCCCAUGGAGCUUUACUGUAGCCUGAUAUUGGGU
rnacentral:rRNA from 1 species